rnacentral:rRNA from 1 species
AUGCAACGCGAAAACCUUUACCCACCUUUGACAUGUAUGGAAGUUUCCAGAGAUGGAUUCGUGCUCGAAAGAGAGCCAUAACACAGGUGCUGCAUGGCUGUCGUCAGCUCGUGUCGUGAGAUGUUGGGUUAAGUCCCGCAACGAGCGCAACCCUUGUCAUUAGUUGCUACAUUCAGUUGGGCACUCUAAUGAGACUGCCGGUGACAAACCGGAGGAAGUGGGGAUGACGUCAAGUCCUCAUGGCCCUUAUAGGUGGGGCUACACACGUCAUACAAUGGCCGGUACAAAGGGUCGCAAACCCGCGAGGGGGAGCCAAUCCAUCAAAGCCGGUCGUAGUCCGGAUCGCAGUCUGCAACUCGACUGCGUGAAGUCGGAAUCGCUAGUAAUCGUGGAUCAGCAUGUCACGGUGAAUACGUUCCCGGGUCUU